CAUUCUUACUGUAUGUGGUUUCCUCCGGUACAUUUCACUUAGGAAUAACAAACCACUCCAGGCCUCUGUCCGUGCUGUGACAAGUGGAACUCUUUGGGCUUUAAAAAGGGAAGAUUUUCGAGGAAUUCUUACGUCAGAAUUUUCAAAUUUAUCAUCAUUGAAGUUGCUUCGAUCAGUAGAUCUGCUCUCGAGGUUGACAAUCCUACAGCUGAGUCACAUUGCAGAAUCUCUUUCUGAAGUUUCCUUUUCUGAGGGGCAGAUAAUAGCUGAUAGGGAUGAGGCUUUCUUGGGAUUGUACAUUAUCAAGAAGGGACAAGUUAGAAUUACUGUUGAUUACAUUACGGAGAAGUAAUUUGAUUCUGACGAUACAAUUGCAGCAAAUAAAAGCUCUUCUUCAGAGUGUUGGGACUUCUUUCUGCCCUGAUUAUUUAGACUGGUUUGGAAAUGGUGCAACUGAUUCACAUUCCAGAAAUGCUGAUCAAUUUGUUCUUUCAAAAUUUUUACAAGCACAUCCUGCUGAUUUUUCUACCACUAAAUUGCAGGUCAGGCCAUACUUUUUGCAGAUUUUUCUGAAGUAUGAAUUUACUUUUCCUACAAUAGUUUCAUAAUCUGCUUAGAUAAUGUUAUAUCUGUUUCAUAAACUGCUUGAUCUUUAUGGCUUUGAAAUGUUAUCUGUUAUUUGGUUCGUUGGUUCUUGAAGUGAUUGUCUGUUGAGUUAUAACAAUUUUAUUGAGCUUAUCAGACAUUAUUGUUUAAUAUUGCUUUUAAGAUUUGAUUGAUGUCUAAUAUUUGCAUUUGGUGUUUGUAUAUUUUGUGGUUGUCUUUGGGUAUGAUGCAUCUAAUAUUGUAGAAUUUGUUUCUGACUAAGAAUUCUUCCUUUCCUGUAAUAUUAACCUUAAUUUUUUGUUCAAGCCAGGAAAUGAUUCGUUUGAUGAGAGAGAGGCGUUUUCCUGCUGCUUAUUGGUUCUGUAUCUAGUGACAACCUGUUCUUCAAAAUGGUCAUCCAUGUCCACAGCGAUUCAGCAUUUCGACGCUAUCAGAAAGAGAUGAGG